GCCCUUCCAGACUCCUACGGGAGGCAGCAGUGGGGAAUCUUCCGCAAUGGACGAAAGUCUGACGGAGCAACGCCGCGUGAGUGAUGACGGCCUUCGGGUUGUAAAGCUCUGUUAAUCGGGACGAAAGGCCUUCUUGCGAAUAGCGAGAAGGAUUGACGGUACCGGAAUAGAAAGCCACGGCUAACUACGUGCCAGCAGCCGCGGUAAUACGUAGGUGGCAAGCGUUGUCCGGAAUUAUUGGGCGUAAAGCGCGCGCAGGCGGAUAGGUCAGUCUGUCUUAAAAGUUCGGGGCUUAACCCCGUGAUGGGAUGGAAACUGCCAAUCUAGAGUAUCGGAGAGGAAAGUGGAAUUCCUAGUGUAGCGGUGAAAUGC
rnacentral:rRNA from 1 species